AGCUUGGGAGGGACAAAAGAGGAGGUCGCUGGUAGAUGACGGGGGAGCAAGCAAGGACUGAUGGGUGCAUCACUACACUGCUACCCGUUUCUCAACUUUUGCUUUACACGGCACUAUUUCGACAGAAUAUUAUAGGAAGGGUGGACUAUGAAGGGAAACACUGGUGUUCUAAGAUAGAUGUUCUGUGUUUGAGAUCUUGCCUUGGUAGCUGGAUGCCUUGGUGCAAGACAUUCAAGGUUGUUUGAUGCGUUUGUGCUCGUCGGCGGGACGGUGCAAGGCACAACUCCGACGCGGUUCCUCGCCGGUUGGACGGCGUUCAGGCGCAACCCCGGCGCGCACUGAGUACUGCCUCGGCUACAGCCUCCCUUGGUGAGGUCCAUCUUCCUCCCGCUCCUCUGCUUCGGCUACUGUAUGGGACAUUGCCAUGGCUAUAUUGAUGUGGUGCUUGUCUGGUUGAUGCUCUAUGCCCUACUCAUGCAUCGGUUUCUACUUGAGCUCUGUACUUGUGGAUCCAUGCCAUUUUAGGGUUUGCAGGCUGUUGUUCAUGUUUAGUUGCUAUCAUAGGAGCUAAUGUGAUGCUCUGGUUUACAUGUGGAUGCCCUGGUCCUAUAGCUAUGCUCCUGGAUUUGCUAGAUUGAUCAGUGGCAUUCGUGCUAGGGCGAUGAUGAUUAAUCGUGGCUGAAAUAAGUGUGCCUUUGAGCAAUCGUGGCACCUGUGCGUAUCAGGUUGGAUCCUCCCUCUUGUCUCUAGAAUCCUUUUUGAUCCUGUGAUACUUGUUGUUGUCCUUGGAUGGUCAUUCUUGUUGAGUGAUAACCAGGGCAGCUCCACUGUAUGAACAGAUUGAUCUGGUGAUAAGAGAUGACGGGGGUAGGUUAUAUGAUCGAGGAAAGGUGAAUCUGAGCCCGCUAUGAUGGACAGGCCGCUCUCGCACCACCAGACUCCCUUCAGGGUAGUUACCCACGGGCACGUACUUUUGCUGUUUAUUUUUACUUGUGAUUCCGCUCGUUGUGAACGUGGCUCGAUCCAUGUUGUGGCCCAAUUAUUAUUUUUGUUUUGUUUCGAUGGAUCGUCUUGGCUUGCUUUUGGCCUGAAGUUGUUGCCUUGCUUUUGGCACACCUGAUUCCACUACCUUUUGUUGUUGCUUGGACCAGUUUCUAUGUAAUGAACAUAUUUAUAUCAAUGUUGUGCUUCUGUUAUAAUCUUGCUA